rnacentral:misc_RNA from 1 species
AAAAUGUCAAAUUUUUUUUUAAGCAAAAGAAAUUUGACAUUUUCUAAAACUAUCAAUACCACAGAUACAAAUGAUACAUUAAAUUGUAUGGGAGAAGAAACGGGUUAAAGAUACUUGGGUGUUACAACUGCACAGAAAAAAUUAAUUCAAUGAAAUACAGAUUGCAGAUGAUUUUAUUUAUUACUAAUUAUAAAAGAGGAUAAAAUUUAUAUAAUAAUUAGUAAUAAGAGUCAACAUAA